AAUUAGGGAAUGACAAAUUAAAUUUUUCCUUCUGAUUUUCAGCUUUUUUUUCUCCUGAAAAAAUUCAAAUCCAACUGAAAAUGCUAAAAAUCAGGAGGAAAAAUCUGAUUUGUCAUUCUCAUAUU
rfam:Gossypium hirsutum cultivar TM-1 chromosome 11, whole genome shotgun sequence